rnacentral:rRNA from 1 species
UACGAAGGGGGCUAGCGUUGCUCGGAAUUACUGGGCGUAAAGGGCGCGUAGGCGGAUAGUUUAGUUGGGGGUGAAAGCCCGGGGCUCAACCUCGGAAUUGCCUUCAAUACUGGCUAUCUUGAGUGUGAGAGAGGUGUGUGGAACUCCGAGUGUAGAGGUGAAAUUCGUAGAUAUUCAGAAGAACACCAGUGGCGAAGGCGACACACUGGCUCACUACUGACGCUGAGGCGCGAAAGCGUGGGGAGCAAACAGG